rnacentral:rRNA from 1 species
UACGUAGGAGGCGAGCGUUGUCCGGAGUUACUGGGCGUAAAGGGUGCGCAGGCGGCGGUUCGCGUGGCGAGAUGAAAUCUCCUGGCUUACCUGGGAGGAUGGUCGCCAGACGGGGAUCGCUUGAGGGUCGGAGAGGGGCGUGGAAUUCCGGGUGGAGCGGUGAAAUGCGUAGAGAUCCGGAGGAACACCGACGGCGUAGGCAGCGCCCUGGACGACACCUGACGCUGAGGCACGAAAGCUGGGGGAGCGGAACAGG